rnacentral:rRNA from 1 species
AUUGAACGCUGGCGGCAGGCCUAACACAUGCAAGUCGAGCGGAUGACGGGAGCUUGCUCCUUGAUUCAGCGGCGGACGGGUGGGUAAUGCCUAGGAAUCUGCCUGGUAGUGGGGGACAACGUUUCGAAAGGAACGCUAAUACCGCAUACGUCCUACGGGAGAAAGCAGGGGACCUUCGGGCCUUGCGCUAUCAGAUGAGCCUAGGUCGGAUUAGCUAGUUGGUGGGGUAAUGGCUCACCAAGGCGACGAUCCGUAACUGGUCUGAGAGGAUGAUCAGUCACACUGGAACUGAGACACGGUCCAGACUCCUACGGGAGGCAGCAGUGGGGAAUAUUGGACAAUGGGCGAAAGCCUGAUCCAGCCAUGCCGCGUGUGUGAAGAAGGUCUUCGGAUUGUAAAGCACUUUAAGUUGGGAGGAAGGGCAGUAAGUUAAUACCUUGCUGUUUUGACGUUACCGACAGAAUAAGCACCGGCUAACUCUGUGCCAGCAGCCG